GGAGCUUGCUCCACCGGAAAAAGAAGAGUGGCGAACGGGUGAGUAACACGUGGGUAACCUGCCCAUCAGAAGGGGAUAACACUUGGAAACAGGUGCUAAUACCGUAUAACAAUCGAAACCGCAUGGUUUUGAUUUGAAAGGCGCUUUCGGGUGUCGCUGAUGGAUGGACCCGCGGUGCAUUAGCUAGUUGGUGAGGUAACGGCUCACCAAGGCCACGAUGCAUAGCCGACCUGAGAGGGUGAUCGGCCACAUUGGGACUGAGACACGGCCCAAACUCCUACGGGAGGCAGCAGUAGGGAAUCUUCGGCAAUGGACGAAAGUCUGACCGAGCAACGCCGCGUGAGUGAAGAAGGUUUUCGGAUCGUAAAACUCUGUUGUUAGAGAAGAACAAGGAUGAGAGUAACUGUUCAUCCCUUGACGGUAUCUAACCAGAAAGCCACGGCUAACUACGUGCCAGCAGCCGCGGUAAUACGUAGGUGGCAAGCGUUGUCCGGAUUUAUUGGGCGUAAAGCGAGCGCAGGCGGUUUCUUAAGUCUGAUGUGAAAGCCCCCGGCUCAACCGGGGAGGGUCAUUGGAAACUGGGAGACUUGAGUGCAGAAGAGGAGAGUGGAAUUCCAUGUGUAGCGGUGAAAUGCGUAGAUAUAUGGAGGAACACCAGUGGCGAAGGCGGCUCUCUGGUCUGUAACUGACGCUGAGGCUCGAAAGCGUGGGGAGCAAACAGGAUUAGAUACCCUGGUAGUCCACGCCGUAAACGAUGAGUGCUAAGUGUUGGAGGGUUUCCGCCCUUCAGUGCUGCAGCUAACGCAUUAAGCACUCCGCCUGGGGAGUACGACCGCAAGGUUGAAACUCAAAGGAAUUGACGGGGGCCCGCACAAGCGGUGGAGCAUGUGGUUUAAUUCGAAGCAACGCGAAGAACCUUACCAGGUCUUGACAUCCUUUGACCACUCUAGAGAUAGAGCUUCCCCUUCGGGGGCAAAGUGACAGGUGGUGCAUGGUUGUCGUCAGCUCGUGUCGUGAGAUGUUGGGUUAAGUCCCGCAACGAGCGCAACCCUUAUUGUUAGUUGCCAUCAUUCAGUUGGGCACUCUAGCAAGACUGCCGGUGACAAACCGGAGGAAGGUGGGGAUGACGUCAAAUCAUCAUGCCCCUUAUGACCUGGGCUACACACGUGCUACAAUGGGAAGUACAACGAGUCGCGAAGUCGCGAGGCUAAGCUAAUCUCUUAAAGCUUCUCUCAGUUCGGAUUGUAGGCUGCAACUCGCCUACAUGAAGCCGGAAUCGCUAGUAAUCGCGGAUCAGCACGCCGCGGUGAAUACGUUCCCGGGCCUUGUACACACCGCCCGUCACACCACGAGAGUUUGUAACACCCGAAGUCGGUGAGGUAA
rnacentral:rRNA from 1 species